rnacentral:rRNA from 1 species
AACGAACGCUGGCGGCAUGCCUAACACAUGCAAGUCGAACGAGACCUUUCGGGUCUAGCGGCGCACGGGUGCGUAACGCGUGGAAUCUGCCCUGGGGUGCGGAAUAACUCGGAGAAAUCCGUGCUAAUACCGCAUAAUGUCUUCGGACCAAAGAUUUAUCGCCCUGGGAUGAGCCCGCGUAGGAUUAGCUAGUUGGUGGGUAAAGGCCUACCAAGGCGACGAUCCCUUAGCUGGUCUGAGAGGAUGAUCAGCCACACUGGGACUGAGACACGGCCCAGACUCCUACGGGAGGCAGCAGUGGGGAAUAUUGGACAAUGGGCGAAAGCCUGAUCCAGCAAUGCCGCGUGAGUGAUGAAGGCCCUAGGGUUGUAAAGCUCUUUUACCCGGGAUGAUAAUGACAGUACCGGGAGAAUAAGCUCCGGCUAACUCCGUGCCAGCAGCCGCGGU